UACCUGCGGAGGGAUCAUUACUGAGUUUACGCUCUACAACCCUUUGUGAACAUACCUAUAACUGUUGCUUCGGCGGGUAGGGUCUCCGCGACACUCCCGGCCUCCCGCCCCCGGGCGGGUCGGCGCCCGCCGGAGGAUAACCAAACUCUGAUGUAACGACGUUUCUUCUGAGUGGUACAAGCAAAUAAUCAAAACUUUUAACAACGGAUCUCUUGGUUCUGGCAUCGAUGAAGAACGCAGCGAAAUGCGAUAAGUAAUGUGAAUUGCAGAAUUCAGUGAAUCAUCGAAUCUUUGAACGCACAUUGCGCCCGCCAGCAUUCUGGCGGGCAUGCCUGUUCGAGCGUCAUUUCAACCCUCAAGCUCUGCUUGGUGUUGGGGCCCUACAGCUGAUGUAGGCCCUCAAAGGUAGUGGCGGACCCUCCCGGAGCCUCCUUUGCGUAGUAACUUUACGUCUCGCACUGGGAUCCGGAGGGACUCUUGCCGUAAAACCCCCAAUUCUCCAAAGGUUGACCUCGGAUCAGGUAGGAAUACCCGCUGAACUUAAGCAUAUCAUA
rnacentral:rRNA from 1 species